UCUUUGAUUAGGGUUACCACAUCUUUUUGAUAGAAGGGGUUAGAAUAGGAGCAGAACUGUGGAAUAUAGGUACUUUUUUAUUAUUGCGGUUAUUGUUUAGAGACUUUGUGAUAUUUGUGAUUAAAAAUAGGCUGGUUCCGGGUUCCCUCUGAUUUUUUAAGUUAACUUAUUUUGUCUAAUUUUGUUUUUGCAUACAUGUUCUAUUUUUGUUACUGAUUUACUUUCUUUUUUGAUAGUGCAGGUGAUUUACUUUCUUUUUGAUAGUGCAGGUGAUUUACUUUCUUUUUGAUAGGGUUCCAAAUUAAAGAUUGCUAUUAUCCUAUGGUGGCAGAAGUAUGCUCCCUUUUUGAAGAAGUGUCAAGGGACUAUAUCAUCUGAAUUAUCUCCCGUGAGAAAAUUUGAAAUGAAAAGAACUUUUGGGUGGUGUGAGACUUACUGAACUCAACAUGCGAAUCAUGGCUCAAGAAAGUUUUCCAGCCACCGGUGUUUGAGGAGAAAGAUCUUACAAACU